AAACGAAAGAAGCUAUAUCGCCAUGAGUUCAUCGCCUGAAGACGAAACAUCUGAUUCAGACGAGUCUAGCGAUGUAAGGCUGUAUUUUUGGAUGUUAAUGUAAAAAAGAAAAGUAUCCAAAUUGCUGUAAAAUUCGGUUCAAUUGAUAAUUAUGUAACACUAAACACUGUAUACACAUAUGGUCGCUCAACCGAGGAUACUUUACUGUGGCUGUAAAUCGCAAUGUAUGCGCAAGUUAAAGACCUCUACGAAUGGAAAGGUGACUGCAUGUCAUGGCUUUCAUUGCAGAGGAAUCGCGUGAACUUGUGGUACGAGGAGUAAACCAUGUAAAAAUAUAUAAAAGGUAUGUACAGUAUUUGAGUUGAAAUAUCAAUAAGUUUCUCUGAUUUUGAAUAUUUGUAUUUGAUUUGAUUUUGAUAUGAGCAAGCUGCAUAUUUAUACAGUGA